GGUUUCGUGGCGCAAUUGGCUAGCGCGUUCGACUGUUAAUCGAGAGGUUGUGAGUUCAAGCCUCACCGAGACCG
rfam:Saitoella complicata NRRL Y-17804 DNA, contig: contig050, whole genome shotgun sequence.